GAUGAACGCUGGCGGCGUGCCUAACACAUGCAAGUCGAGCGAUUUACUUCGGUAAAGAGCGGCGGACGGGCGAGUAACGCGUGGGUAACCUGCCCUAUACACACGGAUAACAUACCGAAAGGUAUGCUAAUACGAGAUAAUAUAAGAGAUUCGCAUGGAUUUCUUAUCAAAGCUGAGGCGGUAUAGGAUGGACCCGCGUCUGAUUAGCUAGUUGGUAAGGUAACGGCUUACCAAGGCGACGAUCAGUAGCCGACCUGAGAGGGUGAUCGGCACAUUGGAACUGAGACACGGUCCAAACUCCUACGGGAGGCAGCAGUGGGGAAUAUUGCACAAUGGGCGAAAGCCUGAUGCAGCAACGCCGCGUGAGUGAUGAAGGCCUUCGGGUCGUAAAACUCUGUCCUCAAGGGAGAUAAUGACGGUACUUGAGGAGGAAGCCCCGGCUAACUACGUGCCAGCAGCCGCCGUAAAAC
rnacentral:rRNA from 1 species